UAUUAUUGUGUAUAUAAAUUUGUUAUUUUAAAUAUUAAUAGUUAUGUUCUUAAAACUUAAAGAAGUUGACGGUAUUUUAGUCUUUUCAGAGGAAUCUGUUCUGUAAUUGAUAAUACACGAAUUAAAAUACUUUAUUUUGUAUAGCUUGUAUAUCAUUGUCAUAAAUUUAUCUUUAAGAAGAUUAUUUUUGAUUUAAAUUAUUAAUUGAGAUGUCAAAUCAAGGUGCAGUUUAUGAUAAAGUAGAAAUGGAUUACAAUUUUAUAGUAAACGGAUAAAUAAAUUUUAAAAGGUUAUUGAAGGUGGAUUUGAUUGUAAAUUUAUUAAUUAAUUUAUUGAUUAGAGCUCUAAAAUAUGUACAUAUCGCCCGUCAUUCCUGUUUUUAAAAUGGG
rnacentral:rRNA from 2 species